UACGAAGGGGGCUAGCGUUGCUCGGAAUCACUGGGCGUAAAGGGUGCGUAGGCGGGUCUUUAAGUCAGGGGUGAAAUCCUGGAGCUCAACUCCAGAACUGCCUUUGAUACUGAGGAUCUUGAGUACGGGAGAGGUGAGUGGAACUGCGAGUGUAGAGGUGAAAUUCGUAGAUAUUCGCAAGAACACCAGUGGCGAAGGCGGCCGACUGGUCCGGUUCUGACGCUGAGGCGCGAAAGCGUGGGGAGCAAACAGG
rnacentral:rRNA from 1 species